GAAUCCAGCAGGGUAAGUUCAUUUAUUCUUGGAUUACUAACAUGUGCAUUUCUUUUCUCACUUAGGUAUUUCAAGGUCUUAUCUAUAUCAUUCGUAACGUGAUAAGAUCAUCCAAGCCUCUCGAGGAUAUCAAUUAAUUCAAAACUACAGAACAAAUCCUCCCAAAAGUUCAAAUUUCAUCAGCUUAUUACAAAAUCUAAUAUGGUAUCGGAGCUACAGUUGAAGGCUAUUUGGAUUUUGUUUCUCAAACGCAGAUCUUUAACAUUUUGUUGAGUUCAGACAGACCAGUAAAACUGCAGUAGCCACUCAGUUUGAUCUUUAUCCAGAAUCUCGACGAUUCUAUCAGCAGUCAUGGAUGCUUCGACAGUUUCAGACCUUCAAAGAUGGAUGAGGCUCAUGCAAAUACGUUCUACCCUUCGUCUGAACAAAAAUCCAUCACUCAUGCUUACUUCAUCGACGCUGACAAAGAGGGAUUAUAAUAUAACUGGUACUCAUGUUAAGGUUAAUUCUCAAUGCAGUGUGUCAGAGGAAUUGCCUGUUUCUUUCACCAGAGAUCAGUAUAAAAAAAAUUUGGCUCUAAUUUAGCCUCCAGCAUCUGUAGACAAUUGAGAUACCUCGCCUCAAAUUAAUACACUCCCUUCUAACUUUCAAGCCACAAAAUUACCAGGUAUUAGUGUCUCUUUACCUUUUUAUAUUGCAGAAGAUGAGUGGAUUAUAGAUUCAGGAGCUACAGACCAUAUAGUUAGUUCCAUUGAAAUGUUUACUUUGUGUAAACCGAUAGAUAAUCUGUUCAUAAAAUUGCCAAAUUCACAGACAGUCCCAGUUAUUCAUGUAGGAGAUGUUCAUAUAACACCAGCACUUGUUCUUCACAAUGCCUUAUAUGCUCCUAAUUUUGCACUCAAUCUAAUACCCAUUAGUUGCCUAUUGAAACACUCUUGUUAUUCCAUAACCUUUCAGAAUAGUUGUUGUGUAAUCCAUGAUAUCCAUAGCCAGAAGAGGAUUGGUAUAGCUAGAGAAAAGCAGGGGUUGUAUUAUCUUGAAGCUGUAAAAAAGAAA